GACGAACGCUGGCGGCGUGCUUAACACAUGCAAGUCGAACGGUGAACGAGGGAGCUUGCUCCCUCCGGAUCAGUGGCGAACGGGUGAGUAACACGUGAGCAAUCUGCUCCGAACUCUGGGAUAAUCGUUGGAAACGACGUCUAAUACCGGAUACGCCGCGGGAGGGCAUCCUCUCCGCGUGGAAAGCACCUCGGUUCGGGAUGAGCUCGCGGCCUAUCAGCUUGUUGGUGAGGUAACGGCUCACCAAGGCGACGACGGGUAGCCGGCCUGAGAGGGUGACCGGCCACACUGGGACUGAGACACGGCCCAGACUCCUACGGGAGGCAGCAGUGGGGAAUAUUGCACAAUGGGCGCAAGCCUGAUGCAGCAACGCCGCGUGAGGGACGACGGCCUUCGGGUUGUAAACCGCUUUUGGCAGGGAAGAAGCGAAAGUGACGGUACCUGCAGAAAAAGCACCGGCUAACUACGUG
rnacentral:rRNA from 1 species